rnacentral:rRNA from 1 species
AUUGAACGCUGGCGGCAGGCCUAACACAUGCAAGUCGAGCGGAUGAAGGGAGCUUGCUCCUGGAUUCAGCGGCGGACGGGUGAGUAAUGCCUAGGAAUCUGCCUGGUAGUGGGGGAUAACGUCCGGAAACGGGCGCUAAUACCGCAUUCGUCCUGAGGGAGAAAGUGGGGGAUCUUCGGACCUCACGCUAUCAGAUGAGCCUAGGUCGGAUUAGCUAGUUGGUGGGGUAAAGGCCUACCAAGGCGACGAUCCGUAACUGGUCUGAGAGGAUGAUCAGUCACACUGGAACUGGGACACGGUCCAGACUCCUACGGGAGGCAGCAGUGGGGAAUAUUGGACAAUGGGCGAAAGCCUGAUCCAGCCAUGCCGCGUGUGUGAAGAAGGUCUUCGGAUUGUAAAGCACUUUAAGUUGGGAGGAAGGGCAGUAAGUUAAUACCUUGCUGUUUUGACGUUACCAACAGAAUAAGCACCGGCUAACUUCGUG